AUACUUACCUGGACCCGAGAUUGUGGCGAUCAAGUAGGCCCAACUCUCUCCUGAGUGAUCCCAUUGCACUUUCGGGGUUAUGACGGAGGACUCUUCGGACACACGUCCGGGGCAGUGGGUCAGAAUUUUUGAUAGUUGGGGGACUGCGUUCGCGCUAUCCCCCU
rfam:Ramazzottius varieornatus DNA, contig: Scaffold005, strain: YOKOZTNA-1.